rnacentral:rRNA from 1 species
UACAGAGGUCUCAAGCGUUGUUCGGAAUCACUGGGCUUAAAGGGCGCGUAGCGGGCUGCCGCGUCCGGGGUGAAAUCCUCCCGCUCAACGGGAGAACGGCCUCGGAUACGGGCGGCCUCGAGGGGGGUAGGGGCGUCUGGAACUGUGGGUGGAGCGGUGAAAUGCGUUGAUAUCCACAGGAACUCCGGUGGCGAAGGCGGAGGCGCUGGACCCCAUCUGACGCUGAGGCGCGAAAGCCAGGGGAGC